CAAAACGUGGUUGUGUUGAUUUUCUGGAAAAAAAUCAGUGUUAAAUCAUACAUAAAAGGUAACCACAAUCAUUACUCAAAAAAUAUGACAAAAGGAAUCAUAUGAUGUAUCCUCCCACAUAGUACCAACGCAAGUUCUAAAAUGUGAGACCAUAUAAAACUUGCCAGGUUCAAAAUAAAACCAACCUGCCUCAAUAACACACUUGUCUAAAAUGUAAAUCGGGGGUGGGGGAAGGGGAUAUUAGAAUUGGAUCCAAAACUGAAAUAGUAUUAAAGAAACUAAGAGCAGAACCACUCUGACAAACCCGGUAUCCAUCAUGGUUUCAGAAACAUUUACUCCAACCAGAAGCUGAUAAACAAUACAGGUUACACUAGAGCAAGGAUAGUUAUGAUUGGAUGCACCUGUAGUUUGCACCCAUAGUUCCCUCAACAAUACGUCCCUCCCAGUAUAAUAUAGCAGUCUUAAUAAUUAAUGUAAUUAGUUAUUUUUACUUAUAUAUGAGUUUAGAGGAAGUAAUACAAACUAAUUAGUACUGGCAGACAUUCCCAAGGCCAUUGAAAAUAAAAUUUCGUACUUCCAAAGUUAAAUAUGAGCCUUCUCCAUGAAUCAGACAUAAAUUCCAAAAACACCAGUUUAUACUGCAUGGGAAACAAUUUUGAGUUUACAAUUUGGAAAUACCAUCCCUUACGGCAUUAAUUUCAGAUAUACUCAUCAUUGAAUCAAGAAUUACUGGUAUUUUGGCACCAUUGAUGAGAGUCUAGGAGAGAACCUUCUCUUUAUGGUCGAUGUUUAGCAAUUACUAGGAAGAUGCACUUUUUGUUUGUCUUAAUACUUAGACCACGACAGCAACAAAACAUAGUAGUGCUUUCAUGUUGUUUGGUACGAUCAAACUUCCAAACUAUUGAAUAGAACUGUUUGAUUUAUACCAGCAGGCUAAUAGAGAGCACAAGCCGGACUGCAGCAGCAUAUAUUCACUAAAAUACUGAAAAUAUGCAAGACAUUGGCAAUGGCCAUAUAUGUUAAGUCAAAGCAACCUCCCCAAAGCAACCUCCCCAAAGCAAUGUAACAACACUCAUAAUGAAGAAAGUGCGUAAUUUGGUGAAGGAUGAAGAAAGUGCAUCCAAACUACCACUAAAUUUUCAGGUAACUCCUGUGCUUGGCAACAGUAGUUUCAGAACUCACAUUGUUUUUUGGGCAUCCAUUUUUCCCAAAUUUCAGAACUGUCUUAGGUUGAACUUCUCUAAAUUUUCUUGAGAAUUUGGCCUCUGUCCAUGUCUAAUUAUUAAUUCCAAUAAUUGAGAUGGACAGAGCCCAAAUUCUCAAGAGAAUUUGUAGAAGCAAAUAUGUUAUGAAGUUUCGGUGAUGCCAAAGAAACGCGUUUCUCAUGUUUGAUCCAAGACUCCAAGAAAUCCAAGAUAAAUGAUGAAAGAGAGAAUCGUGAGUGAUCUUCAAUUGUAAUAUCUUUCUCUGAAAGAGAGAAUUCUUCUUUUCCUCUUCUUAUUCAAAGAGAUUGGUUAAGAGACAGAGGGUCUCUUGAGUUGUAAGGAAUUUUGUACACAAGGGAAGGGUUGUCCCUGUAUGGUUCAAACUUUGUAAAAAACAUCUUACAAGAUAGUGGAACUCUCAAGCAAGUUGCUUGGGGACUGGAC